rnacentral:SRP_RNA from 2 species
GCUGGGUGUGGUGGCUCACGCCUGUAAUCCCAGCACUUUGGGAGGCCGAGGUGGGUGGAUCACCUGAGGUCAGGAGUUUGAGACCAGCCUGGCCAACAUGGUGAAACCCCGUCUCUA